AGUGAACGCUGGCGGUAGGCCUAACACAUGCAAGUCGAACGGCAGCACAGUAAGAGCUUGCUCUUACGGGUGGCGAGUGGCGGACGGGUGAGGAAUACAUCGGAAUCUACUUUUUCGUGGGGGAUAACGUAGGGAAACUUACGCUAAUACCGCAUACGACCUACGGGUGAAAGCAGGGGAUCUUCGGACCUUGCGCGAUUGAAUGAGCCGAUGUCGGAUUAGCUAGUUGGCGGGGUAAAGGCCCACCAAGGCGACGAUCCGUAGCUGGUCUGAGAGGAUGAUCAGCCACACUGGAACUGAGACACGGUCCAGACUCCUACGGGAGGCAGCAGUGGGGAAUAUUGGGCAAUGGGCGCAAGCCUGAUCCAGCCAUACCGCGUGAGUGAAGAAGGCCUUCGGGUUGUAAAGCCCUUUUGUUGGGAAAGAAAAGCAGCAGGUUAAUACCCCGCUAUUCUGACGGUACCCAAAGAAUAAGCACCGGCUAACUUCGUG
rnacentral:rRNA from 1 species